CACGAAUCUUCCCACAAGGAUCCUCUCACGGUGUAAAGCAGGUCCCCUCAACCAUGAAUCCAUGAGUCAGUCCAAGGUCGGGAGAGUCGGUGCUCAUCACCCAGAUUCCUUUGCUUGUUAUAUAGUAUGAGCCACCAAGGUUUGCAAAGAGGAGUUGGGAUUCCCAAGAAACCUUGACGGUUUGAGGGCCAGCCACGCCAUGGCAGAAACUAGAGCUCAGAAAUAAUCGAGAGUUUUGCAGGUAUUGGUACGGGAAGUAUGUGCACGUGAACUCGUGAAGUGUUGUAAUCCUCUAUCAAGUAACAAACAACACAAAAGCUGAGCUAUCAUACUCAGUGGCUCACAGGAUAUCUUGAUGAACUGAGUUGUUGUAUGGGGGGAACUCAUGUUUGUUCCUUUUCCUGAAGGCACAUAUUUUCUUGAAGAUCGAUCCUUCUUGUUUUA